CGGGGCGUAGCUCAGCCUGGUAGAGCACCGCGUUUGGGACGCGGAAGUCGUCGGUUCAAAUCCGGCCGCCCCGA
rnacentral:tRNA from 1 species